rnacentral:lncRNA from 1 species
GUGUGAGCAACAAGGCUGUUUAUUUCACCUGGGUGCAGGCGGGCUGAGUCCAAAAAGAGAGUCAACAAGUGUGGUGGGAUAAUCAUUAGCUACCAUAGGUUUUGGGAGAGGUGGUGGAGUUAGGAGCUAUGUUUUGCGGACAGGGGUGGAUCUCACAAAGUACAUUCUCGAGGGUGGGAAGAAUUACAAAGAACCUUCUUUAGGGUGGGGGAGAUUACAAAGAAUCUUCUUAAGGGUGGGAGAAAUUACAAAGUACAUUGAUCAGUUAGAGUGGGGCAGAAACAAAUCACAAUGCUGGAAUGUCAUCAGUUAAGGCUAUUUUCACUUCUUUUGUGGAUCUUCAGUUGCUUCAGGCCAUCUGGAUGUAUACAUGCAGGUCACAGGGGAUAUGAUGGCUUAGCUUGGGCUUAGAGGCCUGACAAUCCUGUCUUCUUAUAUUAAUAAGAAAAGCAAAACAAAAUAGUGAAGUGUUGGAGCAGCGAAAAGUUUUGUGGGUGGUAAGAAGAGAUAAUGGGCGAUGUUUCUCAGGGCUGCUUCAAGUGGCAUUAGGGGUGGCGUGGGAACCUACAGUGGGAGAGAUUCAACUGAAGAAUGAUUUUGGGGUAAGGGGUGAUAUUGUGGGGUUGUUAGAAGGAACAUGUGUUGUAUAGAAUUAUUGGUGAUGGCCUGGAUGUGGUUUUGUAUGAGUUGAGAAACUAAACGAAAGACACAGGGUCCAAAUAAGAGAAGGAGAAAAACAGGUAUUAAAGGACUAAGAAUUGGGAGUACCCAGGAUAUCCAAUUACAGAGUGUCCAAGGAGGUUCAGCAUAAUUAUUUGCUUGGUUGGCAAGUUUUUGGGCUCUAUCCUUGAUUUUUUUUUAUGUUGUCAUAUACCAGGCCAGAUUGAUUUAGAUAAAAUCAACACUCUUCAUUUAAAAAUAUACAGAGUCCCGUUUUUUUGUUGUUGUUGUUGUUUUUUUUUUUUUUUUUUUUUUUUAGCAGUGAGUAAGUCAGGGCCUCAGUGAUUUUGGAGGAAAGAGAAAUACAAAGCCAGCAAUUGUUUGUUAAAGAAGGAUUAGAAACGGCCAGGAGAGAGUGAGUUUGAUAGCGUGGUGGAGAUAGCUGGGGAGAGGUAGAGGGUGGCAUAAGAACGGGAACCAGAAUAAGAGUGAGUAUAAAAGGGAAGAAUAGGAUUUCAUCAGGGUGAAAGUUCUGGAGGGUACCUUGCCACUGAAGAUCUAUCCACUUCAAGAGAGACUUAAAAAUGGCGAUUUGAGGUAAAACCAGGAGCCACUAAAUACCAAGAGCCUGAGAAAUGGCUUGGGUGAUUUGACUAAUAAAGGCCAGUCUGUUAUUGGACUGUAUAGAGGUGGGAGGAUGGUAAGGGGUAUGAAGCUUUCACUGAAUACCAAGAGCCUGAGAAACUGCUUGGGUGAUUUGACUAGUAAAGGCCAGUCCGUUAUCAGACUGUAUAAAGGUGGGAAGGCCAAACAGAGGAAUUAUGUCUGACAGAAGGGAAGAAAUGACCAUGGUGGCCUUCUCAGACCCUGUGGGAAAGGCCUUUCUUUACCCAUCCAGUGGAAGUGUCUAUCCAGACCAAGAGGUAUUUUAGUUUCCUGACUCAAGCUGUGUGAGUAAAGUCAAUUUGCCAGUCCUGGGUGGGGGCAAAUCCCUGAGCUUGAUGUGUAGGGAAGGGAAGGGGCCUGAACACUCCCUGAGGAGUAGCAGAAUAGCAGAUGGAACACUGAGAAGUGAUUUCCUUCAGGAUAGAUUUCCAUGAUGGAAAGGAAAUAAGAGGUUCUAAGAGACGGGCUAGCAGCUUAUAACCUACAUGGAAGAGGUUAUGAAAUGAUGACAGAAUAGAAUGGGCCUGUAAGGCUGGAAGGAGAUAUUUUUCUUAGUCCAGUAACCUUUUGCCUUGUGUGGGAAGAGAUUGAUAGGUGGAAGUUUCAGUGGGGGAGUAAGUGGGAGUGACCAGAUGAGAAGGAGAAAAACUGGCCGUGAGGGGCAGAAGUUGGAAUGCUAGCUGCUUCUUUAGCUACCUUAUCAGCAUAAGCAUUGCCUUGACUGAUGGGAUCUGAUACCUUUUGAUGGCCCUUGCAGUGAAUGACUCCAGUUUCCUUUGGAGCCCUAGCCUGACACAGAUAGUAACUGCAAACAGUACUGAUCAAGAGGAACUCCUAUUUUUGAAAGACUUGCCAGCAUCAAAGACCAGUUCUUCAAAUCAACCCAGUCAAAGAAAAUAAAAAAAAUGAAUUCAGAAAGUGAAAACAAAAUCUGGAAUAAAUAUGAGAAUAAGAUACCAAAUCCACAAUUUAUUGCCAUUCCUGAGAGAUAAGAAGAGAGAAUAAACAACUUGAAAAAAUAUAUUUGAGGAUGUAGUCCACAAAAUAUUUCCUAAUUUAGGUAGAUAAGUUGACACGCAAAUCCAAGAAAUACAGAGAACUGCAGUGAGAUACUAUACAAGAUGACCAUCCCCAAGGCACAUAGCCAUCAGAUUUUAAAAAGUCAAUGGAAGAGAAAGAAUCGAAAGACAGCUAGAGAGAAGUGUCACCUACAGAGGGAACCUAAUCAGGCUGGCAGUAGACCUCUCAGCAGAACCCCUACAAGGAAGAAGAGAAUGGGGACCUAUUUUCAUUGUCCUAUAAAAAUAAAAUACAACCAAGAAUUUUAUAUCCUUCCAAACUAAGUUUCAUAAGUGAAGGAGAAACACCGUUCUUCUCAGACAGAAAAAUGCUGAGGGAAUACAAUCCAAACAGACAAGCCUUACAAGAGAUCCUAAAAGAAGUUCUAAACAUAGAAUUGAAAGAACAACAUCUGCUACAAAACACAACAACAAAACAAAAUCACACAUAAGUACAUAGGCCACAGGCACUAGAAAGCAAUUACACAAUCAAGCCAAUAUAAAACAAGCUAACAACAAAAUGACAUCAUCAAAAUGUCACAUAUCAAUACUAACCCUGAAUUUAAAUGGGUUAAAUGCCCCACUUAAAAGACAUAGAGUGGCAAGGUGGAUAAAAAUAUAAGAUGCAACUAUCUUUAAUCUUCAAGAAAAUUUAUAUAUUAACACCCUCAUGCCCAAAAUAAAGGUAUGCAGUAAGAUCUGCCAUGUAAAUGGAAAACAAAAAGAGCAAGAGUCACUAUUCUUAAAUAAUAUGAAACAUAUUUUAGAAGAAUAAAAAUUAAAGAUGGACAAAAAAAGAAACGUUACAUAAUGUAAAGGGUAAAAUCCAACAAGAACACUUUUAUUUAACUAGCCUAAAUACCUAAAUUUCUAUGCACCCAACACUGGAACAUCAAGAUUCAUAAAACAAGUAUUCUUGGACUAUAAAAAGACUUAGAUAAUCACAAAUAUCUGUGACUGGGAGACUUCAACAACCCACUGGCAGUGCCAGGUACAUCAUUGAGGCAGAAAACUGACAAAGAAAUUCUGGACUUAGAUUUGACAUCUGAGCAAAUAGACCUAGUAGACAUCUACAGAACACUCCUCUCAACAUCCACAGAAUGGACAUUCUUCUCAUCUCCACAUAGAAUGUAUUCUAAGAUUGACCACUUUCUUGUUCAUAAACAGUCUCAACAAAUUCAAAACAAUUUGAAUCAUAGCAAGCACACUCUCAAACCAUCGUGCAUUAAAAAUAUAAAUGAAUUUCAAGAAGAUCUCUCAAAAGUACAAAAAUUCACGAAAAUUAAAACAUUUCCCCCUAAAUAACUCAUGGAUGAACCUUGAAAUUAGAGCGGAAAUCAAAAAAUUAUUUGCAUUAAUAGAGACAUAACCUACCAGAACCUCUGAGAUGCAGCUAAAGCAGUGUUAAGAGGAAAGUUUAUAGCCCUAAAAUGCCUUGAUUGAGUGUUAGAAAUAUCUCAAAUUAGUAAUUUAAUUUUGUACCUAUAGGAACUAGGAAAAAAAAGAAGGAAACAACCUAAGAGCUAUCAGAAGAAAACAAAUAACUAAAAUUAGGGAAGAACUGAAUGAAACUGAGAUGCAAAAAUCCAUACAAAAGAUCAAUAAAACCAAGAGUUGUUUUUUCAAAAAAUAAACAAGAUUAAAAGACCCCUACAUAGACUCACAAAAAAAGAGAAGAUCCAAAUAAGUACAAUCAUACCUGAUAAACAUGACAUAACUGAUGCCACAGAAAUACAAAAGAUCCUCAGAAUACUAUGAAUAACUCUAAGCAUACCUAUUAGAAAACCUAGAGAAAAUGGGUAAUUUCCAGAAAGAAUUGCCGAAGAUUUAAUCAGAAAGGGAUUCAAACACUGAGUAGACCAAUAUUGAGCUCUGAAAUUGAAUCAGUAAUAAAAAUUCUACCAACCAAAAAAAGUCCUGAACCAGAUGAAUUCACAGCUGAAUUCUGCCAGGUGUACAAAGAACUGCUACCAAUCCUACUGAAAAUAUUCCAAAAAACUGUGGAGGAGUGGCUUUUCUGUUAUUCUUUCUACGAAGCCAGCAUUAGUCUAACACCAAAAUCUGGCAGACACAAUUAAAAAAAAAGAAAACUUCAGGCCAAUAUUCCUGAAGAACACAGGCACAAUAAUUCUUAGCAAAACACUAGCACACUGAAUGUAGUAUAUUAAAGACUAAAUAUACUACAAUCAAGCAGGAUUUAUUCCUAGGAUGCAAGGCUGGUAAAACAUAUACAAAUCAAUAAAUAUUCACCAUCUAAACAGAAUUAAAAACAAAAACUCUAUGAUCAUCUCAAUAGAUGCAAAGAAAGCUUUCAAUGAUAUCCAAGAUCCAUUCAUAAUAAUAAAAAAAACCUUGAGUGACUAGAAACGUAAGAUCAUAUCUCAAAAUAAUAAUAUCCAUUUAUGACAAACCCACAAGCAACAUCAUACUGAAUGGAUAAACACUGGAAUUAUUUUCUUUGAGAACUGGAACAAGACAAGGAUGCCUCUUUCACCACUCUUAUUCAACAUACUUCUGGAAGUGCUAACCAGAGCAAUCAGAUAAGAGAAAGAAAUAGAAGGCACCCAAAAAGGAAAGGAAGAAGUCAAACUAUCUUCACCAGUUAUAUGAUUCUAUACCUAGAAAAUCCUGAAGACCUUGCCAAAAGGCUACUAGAACUGAUAAAUAAUUUAGUGAGGUUUCAGGAUACAAAAAUCAAUGUAUAAAAGCCAGUAGCAUUUCCAUACACCAACAACAUCCAAGCUGAGGAUCAAAUCAAGAACACAAUCCUACUUACAAUAACCACAAAGACAAUGAAAUACCUAGAAAUACUGAUAAACAAGGAAGUGAAAGAUCUGUACAAGGUGAACUACAAAACACUGCUGAAAGAAAUCAGAGAUGGCACCAAUAAAUGGGAAAACAUCCCAUGCUCAUGGAUUUGAAGAAUCAGUAUCUUUAAAAUUGCUGUAUUAGUGUGUUUGUAUUCUUCUGAUAAAGAUAUACCCAAGACUGGGUAAUUUAUAAAGAAAAACAUGUUUGUUUAAUGGACUCACAGUUCCAUGUGGCUGAGGUGGCCUCAUGGCACAAGGCAAAAGACACUUCUUACAUGGUGACAGGAUGAAACUAGAGAAGAUAAAGUAAGGAACAGAUUCUCUCCCAUAGAUUCUGGAGGGAGCAUGUUGAUUUUGAACACCUGUCUAAUUGAACUAUGGAAAAUAAAUUUCUGUGUUUUGAAACCACCCAAGUUGUGAUAAUUUGCUGUAAAAACUGCUGAGAACUAAUCCAUACCUUGUCAUGUUCUGUAGAUGUUGUAUUUGAGCAUAGAGAAGUUGGCAACUUUCCAUAGCAUAAAAUGUAGUAAGGGUGGAAGAAGCAGGCAUUGCAGAAUGAUAUUGUUAUGAAGUGAAAGGAAUUAUGUUAAUGUAGCGAUUUCUGUGUUUGCAAAUGCAGGCAAAUUUUUAACUAUUCAAUAAAGCAUGAAUUUCCUAAUACACUGGUUUAAUAUAUUUGGUUGGUUUAGUCUGUGCAUAAGAGUAGAUAGGUCCUGAUAUAAUGCCCUCAAAGCACAUGUUGGAAAAUAAAAUUGGUCAUCAUAGCAGGCUAAAUGGUGCUCUCCUCCAAGAAAAAAAAAGUCUAUAUUAGAGUCUCAGACAAUAUCACAUACUGUGACAGAAGGGUGACUACUACCUUAUAUAACAAAAGAUGUGAUUGAAUUAUGUCUUUUGACAGUAAGGGCUUUUUCGGGAUUCUUGGGGUGGGGUGUAAAUGCAAUCACAGAUAUCCUUAUGAGAGAGAGGCAAAGGAAGUUUAGAGAAGACACACAGAAGAGAAGGCAAUGUGCAGACGGAGGCAGAGAUUGGAGUGAUAUACCUACGAGUUAUAUUCUGGCAGCUACCAAAAAUGGGAAGAGGUAAGGAAUGGAGUCUCUUCCAGGUCACCUAAAGGAACGCAAUCCUGCCAGAUUUUGGACUGUGAACAUCUAGACUCUGUGAGAGGAUAUAUUUAUAUUGAUUUAAUCCACCUAGUAUGGGAUAAAUUAUUAUAGCAACCAUAGGAAACUGAUACAUUCAUAAACAAGAAAAGACAGCAGUUUAACCAGAAAAGCUGGAUAUUAUUUGGUGUAUAAAAGAACAAAGAGGGGCUAGUGCAAAUAAAUUUCUAAUGCAGGCUAUUACAAAAAUUAUGAAUACUCAUCACUUUGAUGAGUAAUUUCACCACAAAAGCACAUGAUAUUUUGGAGUGUAUUCACACUAUGCCAAAUUGUAUAUUUUACAUCCUAUAGUAGAAACAUUUACUCAGCCAAGAAAUAUAAAAUAAAACUCUGUAAUAUUUAUAAAAACUGUUCUAACUCAGAGCAAGCAUAUUAAACUAAAUUACCCAUGUGAAAAUGCAAAACUACAGUUAAACAGUCCCUAAGGUUAAAGCCUGUGUCCUGAAGAAAGAGAAGACCUUUUUAGUCUAAUAAGUAAGGCAAUCUAAGAACAUCCUGUUUGCUUUAUUUUUUUAUUAUAUACAUUUUCAUUUUCCUAAACAAACUUUAUAGUUUUUAUUUUAACAAACAUGGAAUAGCAAGUAAAGAAAAUUUAACUUAUUCAUGGCUUCUGCCAUUGAAUAAUUAGAUUUUUAAUAUCAAUAUUAC